UACGUAGGGGGCAAGCGUUAUCCGGAUUUACUGGGUGUAAAGGGAGCGUAGGUGGCAUGGUAAGCCAGAAGUGAAAACCCGGGGCUCAACCCCGCGGAUUGCUUUUGGAACUAUCAGGCUGGAGUGCUGGAGGGGUAAGCGGAAUUCCUAGUGUAGCGGUGAAAUGCGUAGAUAUUAGGAGGAACACCAGUGGCGAAGGCGGCUUACUGGACGGCAACUGACGCUGAGGCUCGAAAGCGUGGGGAGCAAACAGG
rnacentral:rRNA from 1 species